rnacentral:misc_RNA from 1 species
AAGACUUCAAUUAUAAUUUAGCAGCCGACGAGAGCUUCUCCUCCGCCUCUCCGCCGACUCCUUCGCCAUGGCCACCAUCGGCAGCAACAACCUCAACGCCAAGCUUGUCCUCCUCGGCGACAUGGGCGCCGGCAAGUCCAGCCUCGUCCUCCGCUUCGUCAAGGGCCAUUUCCUCGAAUUCCAGGAGUCCACGAUCGGCGCUGCUUUUUUCUCCCAAACCCUAGCGGUCAACGACGCGACCGUCAAGUUCGAGAUCUGGGACACCGCCGGCCAGGAGCGCUACCACAGCCUCGCCCCCAUGUACUACCGCGGCGCGGCGGCUGCGAUCAUCGUCUACGACAUCACCAGCACGGAGUCGUUCGAGCGGGCUAAGAAGUGGGUGCAGGAGCUGCAGAAGCAAGGUAAUCCGAACAUGGUGACAGCGCUGGCGGGGAAUAAGGCUGAUUUGGACGAGAAGAGGAAGGUGACAACUGAGGAAGCACAGACCUAUGCUGAGGAGAAUGGUCUUUUCUUCAUGGAGACCUCUGCCAAAACAGCAACCAACGUGAAUGAUAUAUUUUAUGAAAUAGCGAGAAGGUUGCCUCGUGCUCAGCCAGCUCAGAAUCCAACAGGGAUGGUUCUUGCGGAUAGACCGGCAGAGCGAACACAGACUUCAGCAUGCUGUUCUUAGUGCUUGGAGUCUUGGAGGGGAGUUUGACAACAGGAGAUGGAGGCUGGGAUGUUGAAGCCAAUUGAAGCAUUGAGUGUAAAUUGUUUGAUUAUUUCCUACUUGCAUGAUAAAGAGCCUUUCUGGCUUCCCCUGUUUCUGGACCCUGAAUGAGCUAUGUUUGUGUAUUCAUCUCAACUACCAAG